rnacentral:rRNA from 1 species
CUAUGCGCCUUGCCAGCCCGCUCAGAAACUUAAAGGAAUUGACGGGGCCCGCACAAGCGGAGGAGCAUGUGGUUUAAUUUCGAUGAUACGCGAGGAACCUUACCUGGGCUUAAAUGCUUAAUGACGUACUGGGAAACUGGUAUUUCUUCGGACAUUUUGCAAGGUGCUGCAUGGUUGUCGUCAGCUCGUGCCGUGAGGUGUCGGGUUAAGUCCCAUAACGAGCGCAACCCCUAUUGUUAGUUGCCAUCAGGUCAUGCUGGGGACUCUAACAAAACUGCCCGCGUAAGCGUGGAGGAAGGUGGGGAUGACGUCAAAUCAGCACGGCCCUUACGUCCAGGGCUACACACGUGCUACAAUGGCCGGUACAGAGGGCAGCCACUUGGUGACAAGGAGCAAAUCUCAAAAGCCGGUCUCAGUUCGGAUCGGAGUCUGCAACUCGACUCCGUGAAGUUGGAUUCGCUAGUAAUCGUAGAUCAGCAAUGCUACGGUGAAUACGUUCCCGGGCCUU